rnacentral:lncRNA from 10 species
AUUCUGGAAAAUAAUGCAGAGUGGUACAGGCUGAAGCGGAGCGGAGAGGACACUGUUUCAAGAUUCCUGCGCCAGCUCCUUCGUUGUUAUAGAAGUUGGACUAAAUAAAAGGGUAAUCACAAGCGUACAGAUAACAGGCAGGCAGGAAUGUGAAAAUCAGAGAGAAGAGAGAUGUGCACCAGAAGCUGGAGUAAUGUGCUUUGAAGAUGGAGGAAGGGACCAUAAAUCAAGGAAUGCAGACAGCCUGUAGAAGCUGGGAAAGGCAAGGAUGUGGAUUCACUCGAGUCUCUAGAAGAAACGCAACCCCGCCAACACCUUGAUUUGAGGACGUCUGACCUUCAGAAUGAGAAAAUGAUACAUUUGUGUUGUAAGCCACCCAGUUUGUGAAAUAUGUAUCAACAAUUGAAAACUAGUACAUAGUCAAAUACUCAAUCUCUGUUUUUUUUAGCUUAUCAUUUUCAAUCUCUGUCUCCAACCCACAAACCACAUGCAUCAUAAAUAAAUUAAAAUACCAAAACUUU